UGCGCCGAGGGCGGCUGCCCGGCGGCCCGAAGGCGUGCGCCGGGGAGGGGCUGCGGGCCGCGGGGGACACGGCCGGCCCCCAGCCCGCGGCUUCGCGGGACAUUCUUUACCGACGACCGGUGUACCUGUUGCUGGGAAUGGGGCGAGCGCGGUGGUGGGAACUGAAGAUAAGGCUUCCGCGUUGGGGGGAGGGGGGUUGGAAGUGCUGUUGUGGUGACAAGAUAACCCCAAACAACUGCACGGCAACACGCUCGCAGGCCCUGGUGCAAACUGCGGCGAGCAAAAUACCUGCUCUGAGAGCGUUUGAGGAGAUAACACCGAAGUGAUCCUCGGAUUUCCAUACUGGGUUUGUUCUUGGUGGUGAGGGGAGUCGGAAGAUUUUGGUGAAGACGGAACUGCUGUCAUGAUGUCAUUUCUCUCUGUGGGAAGAGAAAGAUGUGUCCUGGGUGAAAAUAGACGCAGACUAUUCUAACACAACGGAAAUGGAGAGGAGGCAAGGGUCACAAAUGACCUGGAAACUUGGCCAGCCCUUUCCACCUCCAGUUCCUUCCUCACUGGGUUCCAGGAGGAGCCACGAGGGGGCGAUGUCUCCCCGAGCUUUGGCUGCGCGGUGGUCCUGGGCCCCUGUGCGGACCAGUGAAUGCCAGCACUUCCCUCUCCUUGGCCUUUCUGGCUUUUUACUGAACGUCCUCCACAGAAAGGCAUUGUCUUGCUGGAGCCUGGCGAAGGCCCAAGAAAAAUGAUAGUUGAUUUAGUCACUGGUGGUUCCAGUCAGACUCCAUUUACGAAGGAGGUGAAAGAUGUGUGAUUCCCGGCUGUGGGGAGAACCUCCCCGAACCCCACCCAAGGAAAAGGUGGCUUCCGUCCAGACUAGAACCUGAUUCCUUUGUCUUGGAGCCAAGCCAGCACUUUGUCCACUGUUAAAAGUCAAAAAUCUCUGCGAUAAAAAAACAAUAAGUUGCAAGAGAGGACCCAUGUUUGGCUGGUUCAUUAUUGCGUGCCCAAUACCCACACAGUGCCUAACGCGUAGUAGGCUCUCCAUUAUUUUUGAAUGAAUGAACACAUUGUCUUACCACUUUUGAUUCUCAGGCUUGAGUGACAUUAGGUCCUUCCACGGUGGGGCAGGGGGUCUGAGUUCGUGCACGGCUCUCCGCGUGGACAGACUGUGCGGAACAGGACACCUGGCAGAUUCAGGGCGGGGGCCUUCACUGUUUUGCAGAGGGGAAACCCCAGGUAGAGAGCUUGUGCACAACGGGACACCUGAUGAGAUUUCAGGAAAUAAAAGUGAGAUCGCACCGCUCAGCCAGUCAACUGAUGCAUGAGGCAGCUGACAGCAGAGCCGAGAGACCUGGAGUUUACAGUUAACGGUGACCCUGAAGGUCAGGAAGGCGUGUGGGGAUGACGUAACACGCCUGUGGACGGGGGGCGGCUCCUCGUUGGUCCUUUCCGUUAAGAAUAGUUAGACGUAUUUGGAAGAACAAUAGAUUGGUGUUGUCAGGAGAACUCAGUAAAAAUCUGUGAGUCUGGCUAUU